GUCAGUCAAAGCAUCGGCCUGAACAAUGUUGCUCUGUUUACUUAGCUUUCUAUCUACAUUCGGAGGUGGCGGUUGUAAAGAUGUCAUCACUCCUGUCCUAACUGAGGUUUAUGGGAAGAGUGGGGAUAAAGUGACGUUGUCUUGCAACUACUCUUCAGCCCUUUCUUUGUACUGGUAUCGUCAAUAUCUAAGGUCAAGUCCACAUUUCCUUCUUCUGAUACUGCAAAACAGCGGGGAGUCUGAAAUCAUGCAGCCUGGCAUGUCAGUGAAGUUAAAUGAAAAGAAAAUCUCUAUGGACCUGGAGAUCUCCUCUGUGAAAGUAUCCGACUCUGCAGUGUACUACUGUGCGUUGAAGCCCACAGUGAGAGGAAACCCGUCAGCGCCGUACAAAAACCUGAAUCUGGCUUGACAAAGUGUUUUUAAGGACUGAGAAAUAUACUAAUACUAUACAAACACUGCAUCCUGACUAUACAUUUUUACCACAUCUGUUCUGAAUCACACUAGUACUAUGGGGAACAUUUUACAAUAAGUUUCCA